rnacentral:rRNA from 1 species
UACGUAGGGGGCAAGCGUUGUCCGGAAUCAUUGGGCGUAAAGCGCGUGUAGGCGGUUCGGUAAGUCGGCUGUGAAAGUCCAGGGCUCAACCCUGGGAUGCCGGUCGAUACUGCCGGACUAGAGUUCGGAAGAGGCGAGUGGAAUUCCCAGUGUAGCGGUGAAAUGCGUAGAUAUUGGGAGGAACACCAGUGGCGAAGGCGGCUCACUGGACCGGUACUGACGCUGAUGCGCGAAAGCGUGGGGAGCAAACGGG